rnacentral:rRNA from 1 species
AACGCGAAGAACCUUACCAGCCCUUGACAUCCCGGUCGCGAGUACCAGAGAUGGAACUCUUCAGUUCGGCUGGACCGGAGACAGGUGCUGCAUGGCUGUCGUCAGCUCGUGUCGUGAGAUGUUGGGUUAAGUCCCGCAACGAGCGCAACCCUCGCCCUUAGUUGCCAUCAUUUAGUUGGGCACUCUAAGGGGACUGCCGGUGAUAAGCCGCGAGGAAGGUGGGGAUGACGUCAAGUCCUCAUGGCCCUUACGGGCUGGGCUACACACGUGCUACAAUGGCGGUGACAAUGGGACGCAAUGGAGCAAUCCUGCGCAAAUCUCAAAAAGCCGUCUCAGUUCGGAUUGUGCUCUGCAACUCGAGCACAUGAAGUUGGAAUCGCUAGUAAUCGCAGAUCAGCACGCUGCGGUGAAUACGUUCCCGGGCCUUGUA